GCCUUUCUGCUUGCAGAGAGGUGGAGGAGCGGCGAAAGGGAGAGUAACGAGUGGAUCAUCUGCCCCUAGAUCUGGGAUAGCUGCGGGAAACUGCAAGUAAUACCGGAUAAUGUCUUCGGACCAAAGGUGUGAUUCCGUCUAGGGAUGAGUCCGCUUCCUAUUAGCUUGUUGGUGGGGUAAAGGCCUACCAAGGCAAUGAUGGGUACCGGGUGUGAGAGCAUGGCCCGGCUCACUGGGACUGAGACACUGCCCAGACACCUACGGGUGGCUGCAGUCGAGAAUCUUCGGCAAUGGACGCAAGUCUGACCGAGCGACGCCGCGUGCGGGAUGAAGGCCUUCGGGUUGUAAACCGCUGUCAGAGGGGAUGAAAUGCAUGGGGGUUAUCCCCCAUGUUUGACAUAUCCUCAGAGGAAGGACGGGCUAAGUUCGUGCCAGCAGCCGCGGUAAGACGAACCGUCCAAACGUUAUUCGGAAUCACUGGGCUUAAAGGGUGCGUAGGCGGCCUGGCAAGUUGGGUGUGAAAUCCCUCGGCUCAACCGAGGAACUGCGCCCAAAACUGCUAGGCUUGAGGGAGAUAGAGGUGAGCGGA
rnacentral:rRNA from 1 species